UACGUAGGGUGCAAGCGUUGUCCGGAAUUAUUGGGCGUAAAGAGCUCGUAGGCGGUUUGUUGCGUCGGCUGUGAAAUCCCGAGGCUCAACCUCGGGUCUGCAGUCGAUACGAGCAAACUAGAGUGUUGCAGGGGAGACUGGAAUUCCUGGUGUAGCGGUGAAAUGCGCAGAUAUCAGGAGGAACACCGGUGGCGAAGGCGGAUCUCUGGGCCGAUGACUGACGCUGAGGAGCGAAAGCGUGGGGAGCGAACAGG
rnacentral:rRNA from 1 species